UACAGAGGGUGCGAGCGUUAAUCGGAAUUACUGGGCGUAAAGCGUGCGUAGGCGGUUUGUUAAGUCUGUCGUGAAAGCCCCGGGCUCAACCUGGGAAUGGCGAUGGAAACUGGCGAGCUAGAGUACGGUAGAGGAGAGUGGAAUUCCCGGUGUAGCAGUGAAAUGCGUAGAGAUCGGGAGGAACAUCAGUUGCGAAGGCGGCUCUCUGGACCAGUACUGACGCUGAGGCACGAAAGCGUGGGGAGCAAACAGG
rnacentral:rRNA from 1 species